GCGCCCAUAGCUCAACGGGAUAGAGCAUCAGCCUUCUAAGCUGAGGGUUCCGCGUUCGAGUCGCGGUGGGCGCA
rnacentral:tRNA from 2 species